AAGUUCCUGGGCCAGGCAUCAAACCCGUGUCACAGCAGCAACCUAAGCUGCUGCAGUGACAAUGCUGGAUCCGCAACCUGCUGUGCCACAAGGGCUGGGGAUGGAGGAGCUAAUGUAUUUGCAGACUUCAUUAUACUGAGUACUCUGUUCAGAGGUCCCAGAGCCACAGCCCCGAUGAAUGGAAGUCUUUAAACACUGCCGCCCAAAACAAUGUCCUCAGCCCUGUUCUGUCUCCUGUUAUUAAAAGCCUCACUCACCCUGCAGGCGGAGGAGGGCCAUGAUGGGAGGCACCUGGCCCUGGGGCAGCAGCGGAAGGGGUGUGGCUCUAAGGAAUUGGGUGGACCUGAGAUACCUGUUCACCUUUCUGAGGGGUCGGCUGAGCAGCAGCCAUUAGUCCUGAGCUCCGAGGCCUCCUAGGGCCUGACAAAGUGGCAGAAAGGCACAAGGACACCAAUGUCUAAUCACCACCAAGAAGGAUUUCCUUACAGUGGAUGGAAGCAGCACAGAUUUUGGGAAGAGCACUGACUUCAGCAUUUCUCCAGGUUUGUAUCUCACUCUGACUCAUCAGCUGUCAACCAUGUGUGAGUUGCUCAGUGUGUCCCAGUUUCCUUGUAUGUGGAAAGGAGGGAACAUCGUUAUAUGGAUAUGAACUCGUGUAAACAAAGUGCUUGCAUCUGCAUAAAAUGCCAGGCACAUAUUAGGAACUCCCUAAAAUUGCCUUCCUUGUUUCCUGCACCUGGAGUUUACAUCAGAGUGGGGAUUAAAACCACCUGGGUGGUCUGUUAGUCUUAAAGGUCCCAUCUGGAUCUGAGAGUCUGACUUUGUAAAUUGAUGGAAUUGAUUUUGGGUGGGGGUAAAGGGAGAGACAUGCUAGUAAGGUAAAUACAGUGCCAAGGAAAAAAGCUGAUCCUUUGGAGUAAUGAUUUAUCCUAUUCUCUUUGGCCUGUGAGUGGAGUAGGCUGUGUUUCUCUGAAGUGGUUGGCUACGAACUGGCUGUGGAGGCCCGAACCUUGGGAAUCUCCUCAGUGUCUUCAAAACAACCCAGAUAAAUACGCAGUCUAAGUACAUACUGUUUUUUGGCUGUGGAAAUUUAGCACCAACACAAGUCCAUGCCUGCCCACCCCAGUUUCUAAGCCCCUCCCACAUAGAAAAGGGGGAGCUGCCUUGCCCUGUAACUCGGUGAACUUGGUCAGUGUGAUGGGGAAGAUAAAAAUACACAUUCUGUUCUAGGCUUGCCCAUGCUUAAUGAUUCCUUGGAUGAGAGUUGAGUAUGAAGAAGCUGCAUUCAUUGUUUAGGGUGCGUGUGUACUGUUUCCCUCAUGCCCCUAGUCAGCUCACCUCCCCAAGCUAAACCUGGAUAUCCACAAGUAGAAGCAGGUGCUUAGGAGAAUGUAUCGUUGGGAGUUCCUACUGUGGCACAGUGGGUUAAGGAUCUGAUGGCAGCAGCUCGGGUUGCUGUGGCAAUGCAUGUUUGAUUCCUGACCACCACAUGCCUUGGGUAUGCCCCCCCCGCAAAAGCAACCUGUUGUUUGGGGUAGUAUGAGGAGAACCAAGAGAUUAGCAUCCUUCCCAUGAAUUCUUUCUUGAUCCUAGGGCAAGAGUGAGCUGUCUUUGCAAACGGGUCAACUAUCAAACUACUUUUAUUGGACAUUCAAUUUAUUUUUUCUUUUCUCUUUCUUUCUUUCUUUCUUUCUUUCUUUCUUUCUUUUUCUUUCUUUCUUUCUUUCUUUCUUUCUUUCUUUUUCUUUCUUUCUCUUUCUUUCCUUCCUUCUUUCUUUCUUUCUUUCUUUCUUUCUUUCUUUCAUCUUUUUGUCUUUUUUAGGGCCACACCCACGGCAUGUGGAGGUUCCCAGGCUAGGGGUCGAAUUGGAGUUGUAGCUGCAGGACUACACCACAGCCAUAGCAACAGGGGAUCCGAGCCGCAUCUGCAACCUUCGCAAUAGCUCAGGGCAGCACUGGAUCCUUAACCCACCAAGCAAGGGAUCGAACCUCAUGGAUGCUAGUCAGAUUCGUUUCUGUUUAGCCAUGACGGGAACUCCCCAAUUUAUUCUUUCAUCUGUUCAGUUAAUCAGCCUGUGUAUAUUGCUAAGCUUGCUAGGCUCUGGAAAUAAAAUACUGAUUCACAGGGAAAUUUGGAAUCUAGUGGGAAGGAAUCAUAGGUUGGGGUCUGCCUAGCCAUGGUGGACUGUCACAUCACUGUCACCAGACUGAGAGGAAAGUCUCGCCCUUUUUGUUGUGGUGCUUUGCACCCUGGACGCCAGCUGACCCAGGGUCCCUCUAUGGGAGUAGGAGGAUGGGAUGACUCAGUGGGUCACAGGUGGAAGAGAGCAGGUGGUAUGUCCUUUGCAAGGUUUCCUAAAUGUCUGCAAGGUAACUGUGAAAUAAAUAAACAAGCUCAAUGAAUAAUGCAGCACCUACUCAUGAAUCAGUCUGGAACUGUUCAUUUUUCUGCUUCCUGUGCUUUUGUGCUAGUUUUGAAGAAUAUGCUUUCCACCCUUUAUCUUGAGUGAAAACAAUGUGGUCCUUCUUUCUCCCUCCACCCCAUCCUCAACAGUAUUUUCCCUUAAAAUUUUCCAGUUUAGCCUAUUUUCUUUCAGUACCUGACUCUCAUCUAAGCUCAGGCAAAAAAUNNNNNNNNNNNNNNNNNNNNNNNNNNNNNNNNNGGGAAAGACUGCCACAGUCUGGGGAUAAGACAUGGAGACAUACAGUGAGAGGAGAGUCACAGUCACUAAAGUAUCCACCUGUGGUGGACCAGGUCAUGUGCAGUGUGAUGACGGUAACCACAGCCCCAGGCCCCCAUUCCUGAAAUCCUGAGAGUCUGACAAAGCCAAGAUUUUUCUGAAGUUUGUGGCAAACUCCCUGGCUGGCAAAACUGGGCGGAACUGACAUGAGUUUAUUUAUAGUCUUGUAUUUAUCCUACAUAGUAUGAAUAUUCAUACAUUUUGUUAAAGAAAUAUUAAUGUGUUUAAUUAUGAGAUGCUGCCACAUACCCUGUUGGGAGUGUUAUGUAAUUUAUGGAAGAUGCCUCAUAUUAACUUUCUAAAAUUCAAAAAAUUCUGAAUUUUUAAACACAUUGGUCUCACAGAUUUCUUUUAAGGGUGGUGGAACUAUAUUCUUUUUUCAGGCUGUCUUAUGGUCUUUAUCUUUUGUAAAGACCAGACCAUUUUUCAUUAAUUUUCUUGAGGGUACAAAGCAGAAGCUUUUCUAAAACUCUGUUUUUAACCAUAUAUGCUUUCUCCCACAACAUCCCAAAUUAGCUUUUAUUUUAUAUAUACUGUGCUUAGUAUUUGGGGGUUUUUUUUGGUAACUAAAAAAAAAAAAAAAAAAAAAACUAAAAAAAAAAAAAAAAAAAAAAAAUCCCUGAUAAGCAACGUGGUCCUACUGUAUAGCAUAGGGAACUAUAUCCAGUCACUUGUGAUGGAACAUAAUGGAAGAUAUUACAAGAAAAAGAAUAUAUAUAUAUAUGUGUGUGUGUGUGUGUAUAUGUAUAAGAAUGUAUACAUUCUUAUAUGUAUAAUGUGUAAUAUAUGUAUAGGAAUGUCUAUAUAUAUAUAUUUAAAACUGGGUCACUUUGUCAUACAGCAGAAAUUGACAGAAUAUUGUAAAUCAAGUAUAAUAAAAAAUUUUAAAAAAAGAAGAGGAGC
rnacentral:lncRNA from 1 species